rnacentral:lncRNA from 1 species
CGGCGACAUACGCCUUGGCGACGAACGCCACGCCGACCAACGGCUUCUCUUUACUCAUUGCGGGCACAUGCCCCACACCAAUAAUACAUGGAAGGGAGACUACACACCUGGAGACUUACUCCGGUGACUACUACUCUCGUCACUUAAACAUGCUGUCUGCGGUGCCAUUUAUAGGCUCAAACAACACGUACACACCAGCCAACACAAGCACACACACAAAGCUAGCUAACAACCUGAACUGGGUCUCACGCGACUCACGCACACGACCUGCUCCACUAACUAACUACCUUGACUAAUUCCUUCACGCGCCUGCCACUUCAACCACGCCCGCACGCGGCAACGACCAGCUAGCCCACUAAUCGGAUGCCCAAACGUCCACGGCUCCUAGCUGUCUACGUGAAGAACAAAGCCAAAACUAAAAUAGAUACAUGAGUCGAGAUUAACGGCUAACAAUUUCCCCCCUAAUCUUGACUCGGCUAGUCGCCGCCGUCGCCUUGAACGCCUGACGCCAUGGCACGCGCAUACGCGCCAAAGUACCUCCAUGAUCGCCGCUCCACGGCCGUUGCACCGCGCCGCUGCGCCACACCUCCAUGCCGCCACGACGUUGAGUGCACGCUGCACCACGCCGCGCCACACCACCGCGACGUGCCGCGCGACCGCGGCCUCUGAUCCGUGCUCGUCGCCCGCGACAUCACCGCGCACCGCCCACACGGACUCACCGCGCCCCACGGCCCCGAAACUUGAGGCUCUGAUACUAAUUGUUGGCGCAACCCUCUGGCGACACACGACGGGCAGCCCUCCGGCGAAACGAACACCGGACGACGGAAGCAGACGAACUCAACAAGAACUUGAGACACCAGUAUUUCAGGCGACAUACGCCUUGGCAACGAACGCCACGCCGAUGAACGGCUUCUCUUUACUCAUUGCGGGCACAUAGCCCACACCAAUAAUACAUGGAAGGGAGACUACACACCUGGAGACUUACUCCGGUGACUACUACUCUCGUCACUUAAACAUGAUGUCUACAGUGCCAUUUAUAGGAUCCAACAUCACGCACACACCGGCCAACACAUGCACACACACAAAGCUAGCUAACAACCUGGACUGGGUCUCACGCGACUCACGCACACGACCUGCUCCACUAACUAACUACCU